rnacentral:rRNA from 1 species
CAGUCGCCGCGGUAAUACGUAGGGUGCAAGCGUUAAUCGGAAUUACUGGGCGUAAAGCGUGCGCAGGCGGUUUGUUAAGACAGAUGUGAAAUCCCCGGGCUCAACCUGGGCAGGUCAUAUAAUACUGUUUGACUCGAGUAUGGGAGAGGGUAGUGGAAUUUCCGGUGUAGCGGUGAAAUGCGUAGAGAUCGGAAGGAACACCAGUGGCGAAGGCGGCUACCUGGCCUAAUACUGACACUGAGGCACGAAAGCGUGGGGAGCAAACAGGAUUAGAUACCCCUGUAGUCCCUGUCUCUUAUAC